AAGUGUCUGAAAAUAUAACAUCCACUAUUUUUGUCUUCGAUAUAUUUUUUUCUGAAACUCAAUUAAACCAGUCCUAUGGCAAUAAUCUCAAACAUUAAAUGUGUAAGAAGCCCUGCUUGCUGGCGUGGAGCCAGGUAUGGAAUGCGAGUGCCUAGUGGGCCACUUUCGGUAAGCAGAACUGGCAGUGGGAUGAGCCAAAUGCCAGGUUAAGGCAUCAAAUGCUGAUGCUCAUCAGACCCCAGAAAAGGUGUUGGUUGAUAUAGACAGCAGGAAGGUGGCCAUGGAAGUUGGAAUCUGCUAAGGAGUGUAUAACAACUCGCCUGCCAAAUCAACUAGCCCUGAAAAUGGAUGGCGCUGGAGUGGAUGGGAGCAGGGGCAGUCACACGAGUGGCGGUUUCGAGUGUGACAAAAA
rnacentral:ncRNA from 1 species